ensembl:lncRNA
CUCGACGCUGCGGCCGGGCCGGGGUUGGGCCUGCUGGACCUCUUGUGCCCUGUAAUGGAAGAAAAGUUUGAAAAUGUCAGAGCACGCUGCUUCCCAGCCCGCCGGCGUUUGUUUGGCACCGCCGUUUUCUCCGCAUUCCUUCUGCAGUCACAGUGAUCAUCAAAACCUGAAACUCCAAAGGCCAUGGAAACUUUUCUUCUUGCUGCACAAUCUCUCUGGCUUGUCUUGGGAUGAGAUAAGGGUUCACAACUGAAACAGGGAUUUUAAUAGUUGCCAUGGGAUGCUGCUGAUGCCAGUAGUUUUCAUUAGUCAAAGAACAACAAGACGAAUUCAAAGGAGAAAAGGUUAUUAAAUUUAAAGAUAACAUCUCUGGCUCAGUAAUUUCCUGAGCCAAAGGUUUAUUACAGAGAAGCAUCAUAUAAUCUCUUUGUUCUGAAUCUCCUCCACAGAUUCUGGCACUAGACAAAUUUAAAUUUAAGUAUUUUGUGCUAGAUUGGAGAUUUGCAGGUACAACUGUUCUUAUGAGAUACUUUUCAAUUCACUAUUACUAUUGCAGCUAUGUAAUUGUG